rnacentral:misc_RNA from 1 species
AAGUCGUAACAAGGUUUCCGUAGGUGAACCUGCGGAAGGAUCAUUAUUGAAUAAACCUGAUGAGUUGUAGCUGGUUCCUUAGGGGACAUUGUGCUCGCUUGUCAUCUUUAUAUCUCCACCUGUGCACCUCUUGUAGACCUGGAUAACUUUCUGAGGCAACUCAGCUUUGAGGAUUGCUAAUUUAUUAGCUUUCCUUACAUUUCCAGGCCUAUGUUUUUCAUAUACCCCUAUUGUAUGUAACAGAAUGUUUUACAAGGCUUCAAUGCCUAUAAACUAUAUACAACUUUCAGCAACGGAUCUCUUGGCUCUC